rnacentral:ncRNA from 1 species
AGCCUGUGUAGCCUGGGGGAUUGGCCCCGGGGUAUCCACGAUCCCGCCUUACCGGGGUCCCGCCACGGGGA